CCCGUUUGGGUAAGUUGAAAAGAAAAACAGCCGAGUGAAGUGUAUAAAGGUGUUCUGUGUGUGCAAAUUUCCCUAGGUUGGAAAUUGGAGGAGGCUCGUCUUCCACGACAACCAGCUGCAGGUCAUAGAAAUUCGCCGGAGCUUUGGGACGUCGCCUUGGAGCAAUUCGGCGAGCCAGAGAGGAGAGGCCAGCUAGUGCCCGGCAGACGGCAGCCGCGUCGGUUUGUUUCAUCGCUCCGCGUAUGCGUCCAUACCCCGCGCGUAGGGAGGAGGCAGAGAGGAAAAAGUGUUCGGCAGUUAGUGGCUGAUCGAAGUUGAAAUUGUCACAGAGAUCUAGCCUGGUCCAAAAGAAACAAAAAA